rnacentral:lncRNA from 1 species
GCUUGUGCCUGGAGCCGCGUCUCAAUCGAGCUUCAACCAAUGGGGCUAGGAGCGGGACGACGGCGGAGCACGUGGGCCGCGCCCGGGACCUUCCGCCCCUGCUCCUGGCAGCUGCAACUGUCCUCCCUGGUUGGGUCUGCGGUUCCUGCUCGGUUAGCCGCUGCCCUGGGGCCUGGGUUGGAGGAGCCUGGCCCACCUCUGCCCACUGAGAGCCGCAGGGCAGAAGGUCUCCAUACGACUGUCCUGGGCUGCUCUCUUCUCGGACUCUGAGCCUGGCCCGGCGCUCCAGCGGGGCUGCUGGGGGCGGAGGCGUGGCCCUGCGCGCCGCGCCCCACCUCGCCGGUCACGACUCGGGGCCCCCCGAUUGCUGGCGGCUACGUAGCCGACGACUGGGGCCUCCAGUGGACAUCACCUUGUCUUCUUCUGGACAGUGGGCACUCGGUGUUUGCAGAGUGGAUGAAUGCCUCAGACUGCGUGGGCGGACUGCUGCAUGUGGAGAGGCUUAUGUAGACUGGAUGCGCCAGUGAGCCCAGUGAGCGCCAGUCAGCCCUCUGAGCCAGGGAUGCCUGCCCUCUGGCCGGUGUUCUCCCUCUCCUUGAGUAUGCAGCGUUCACACCUUGGCCUUUGUAAGCAGAUGCCGCUGCCAGAGCAGCCUCCCGGCCCUUUUAUAAGCUAUGCACAUCAGUCUGGUUAGUAGGGCCCGCCUCUUGCCCUUUCUACAUUCACUCCUCACAACUGUGACUCUUGUCGAAUCCUGGGGGGCUCUGAUGCCGCCAAUCUCUUUGGAAGAAUGGUUUUAUGCCCUUGGUUUUUCUAUUCCAGGCUGAGAAGCAAGAAAGUUCAGGAAAAAAAGAUGAUGGGAAAAACACACAUAUAAGGUCAAAAAGCUGACAAAUUAGUUUAACAUGAAAAACACCAGCCAGAUCCAACCGACACAGGGCCUGGCUCUCUAGGGUAGACAGGGAGAGAGGAGAGCUCUGGGGUCAGAGAAGUCACAGGUUCAAAUCAAUGUCCCUUUCUGAGCCUCAGUUUCCUAUGUGAAAGGCAAGAAUAGUAAAACCUAAUU